AUUGUGAUGAAAAUAAUUGGUCCGUGUUGAUGAAUUUUAUUUGAAUAUGUUUUUCUCCAAUUACUGAUCAUU